rnacentral:lncRNA from 1 species
GGACUCGAUUUGACUUUCAUCUCCUCUAUUUGGUAGGAGUCCGAUUGUUAGAGAAGUCCGUCUGAAAUUUACCUGAUCUGGAAGCUCGUCUGAAGAUUAUCCAUCGGAGAAGUCCAGUUUCAUGAAGAAUUUGGCGGAGGGUCGGCCGGCGGUGGACCUCGGAUGGCGUUGGAGAGGUUCGGCAGACACCAGAGGUGAUCGACCGUUGUAGAAAUCCAGCU